UGCGGACAGCAAGGCCCUUGUUCUCAUGGGAUUGGUUUUCUAGUGGAGGAGAGAACCUUCACCAGUUUUUCCUCCCCUGGAAAUUAAGGCCAGCUUGGGUUGGCCCCCACCCCAUCUUAAGGAGACCCAAACCAAGAUGACCCUUCCUCCCUGUGUUUCGGCAGACUGACUGCUCAUUUCCCACAUUUUAAAAGGAGGGCAUAACCAGAGAGGACGGUAACGUCAGGACACAGAGCUGCAGCCCCUUGGGCUGUGUGUUUGGGGAGCAUGUGGCCAGGGUUGGGACUGGUCCUUCUUCUGUGGUCCCGUGGUGUCUCCCACAUGCCAGGAGUAGUGAGCAACCUGUGGAGUGAGGUAUGUCGCUGCAGUGGAGCAGGGCAGUUCAGUGUCUGGUUCAGUGUCUCAGGUCUGGCAGUGAAGUGGCUGGUGGGGAACCAUAUCUGGGGCUCAUAUCCAGGGACAGGGCCACAGGGGACUGUCACAGCAGGGCACUGAAGAGAUGGAAGGGGCAUUGCCAGGAGAGGUUGGUGGCCAGGGUCCAAAUAAACGCAAACUUCCUCAUUCUAGAGAGGAAGAAGGCAACCUGGACGUCAGCCUCACAUCUUUAAUGAACUGAAUUUCUUCUCCCUCCGUCUCUGCCUCUUCCUCCCCUUCCCUGCCUCUCCUCUUUCUACCCCACGGCUGUUCAGUCAGCAGCAUGUGCCAGGCUCUGAUCCCGGCAUUGGGAAGACACAUUCCCAGCUUUCAGGGGACCCACAGGCUGGUUUCUCACCCGAUGCUCAAACGUGCCUUAUGAGAGCGCAGACAGGAAAAGACCUGGCACACAGAGCUCUGAGCAGGGACGCCUCCCUGGUGGGCAGGGGUUGCGGGUCCUAAAGUGACGCCUGAAGGCUGGGGCUAAGGGCCGUGUGGACAAGGCUCCCAGGAGGAAGCGACUGGGGCCCAUUUCAUAACCUAGCAGAGGGCUGAGCCUGUGGUCAGAGCUGCUGGGCCUGCCCCCUCCCUGCU
rnacentral:lncRNA from 1 species